rnacentral:lncRNA from 1 species
GGAGAAUCAUCUUCUGCUUCUCUCCUCAUUCUCAUUCUGUCAAGUUUCUUCUGCUGCUCUCUCAGCAGAGCCUGCUGUUGAAUCUCUAGAGUCUGGUCGUCUUUUGGAGGAUCAGGAUACAUUUGCCUUAAGCCCACACGUGUUUCAGAAUCCUUGUAUUUAAGUUCAUUAAAAUCCCAGAUGUUCUGUAUAUUGACAGGAUCUUGGGCAUCCUUUGACGAAGGUCGCCUCACCGGAGCCUGCAGACGAAGCCUGGCCAUCUCAAAUAUGUCCUUUGGAUUCUUCUCUCUCCUCCCACGUGUAAUCGGUCCAUCAUCAUCAC